CACUCUAUGUCUCUGUAAGAUUUGGAAUGAUUGUGAUUUGUCUUGGCACAGCUCCCAGAAGACUUACAACUUUCAGACAGGUUCCUCACGUCACAUCUACGGCAUCAGGCUCAGUUGGCGGCUGCGCUGUAACGCUUAGCUAUCACCGGAAAAGUGCUUCUAAUAUCCUUCACUGGUCUCCGUCCAGAGCAACGGGGUCUGUUGGUCCAUUUCUUUAA